rnacentral:lncRNA from 1 species
CGGGGCAAGGGCGAGGUGGUGGAGAUCCCAUCCCGAGUGCAUGGGUCCCUGGAGCCCUUCUGCCCCUCCCAGGCCCCGCUCGGUGGCAGCCAGGACCCCGCUGGGCCCUCCGCCUCCAUCCCCAAGCUGAAGCUGACACGUCCCGGGCCCCCUGGCACCAACCUGCCACCCCCCAAGAUCCGCUUGAAGCCCCACCCCCGGGGCUCUGGGGAGCAGGAGCCCGUCUACAGGGCCGAGCUGGUGGAGGCACUCAACGGCCAUGGGCGAGGCCCCCGGGCCGGCUCACCCGCUCUCCUCGGCCACAGCUCUGCCGGCAGCGGGCUGGUGGACUCUUCUUCCGGAAGCUCUGGCGAGGAUGAGGACUUCAAACGGUGUCCCCAGGGUCAACGCGGGCGAGAGAGCCUGGCUUUCCUCACCUCCUGCCCUGGGAGGGGGACGGAUUGUCCCCGUGAGUCAGUGUGGAGCAGCGACAGCCUGGAUGAGGCCAAAUCGUCCAGCUCGGAAGUCACAUCCCCAGACACGUGUGACCUCUCGUCGGGCGACGGUGCGUCUGUGCGGCCCUCGUCCAAGGACGCGUCCCGCCGCUCACGGUCAGGCUGCACACACAGAGCGUCUCCAAGUGCGUGACCGAGGAUGGAAGGACGGUGGCCGUAGGGGACAUCGUGUGGGGAACGUGCUGAGAAGGGACGAGGGCCCCCCAGCGAGCAUCUGGCGAGGAAGCUGA